ACAAUAAAAGGUAACAUUUACUAAGCAUUAACUAUGUAGUACACAUUUCUAUAGGCUCUAUAUGUAUUUACUCCUUUAAACUGCAGAAAACCAUGAUGAAAUUUGUGAUAUCAAUGUAUUAGUAAGGAGGAAACUAAAACAAACAGGGGUUAAGUAACUUUCCCAAAGAAACACCCAGACAGGUGGAGCUCAAAUGAUGCUGAACAAGAGAAUGAUGCUGAAUGAGAGAACCCUACCUUUUAGGAUUGAGCUCUCAUAUGAAUCAUUGUCUAGCAAAGAUUGAAAUAUGAUGGAAAGUAAUUCUGUACCUAUAUUAAUCUAGCCUUUUUAAACUAUGAAUUCUCUGAAGGUAAGUUAGUCAUGAGUUUAUAUAAAAAAGGAUACUCAUAUUCAUAAUUUGAAUUUUCUGAUACUCCAAAGUCAAAUGUUAUGGAUAAGCAUGGAAAGGAUUUACUAAAUUAAUUUUUCACACAGUCUUUCUCCAUUAUUAGGUUUCUGAUGUUGAGUAAGGUGUGAAUGACAUCUAAAGUCCUUACCAUAUGCAUUACAUUUAUAAGGCUUCCCGCCAGAAUGAAUUCUCUGAUGUUAAGUUGUGAUACACAGUUAAAGGCCUUCCCACAUUAGUUACAUUUGUAUGUUUCUCAGCAGUAUGAACUCUCUGAUAGUAAGUUAGCUGUGAGCUAUAAAUAAAAGUCUUACCACAUUCCUUACAUUCAUAUGGUUUCCAGUAUGAAAAAUCUGAUGUAGCUUUAGUUGCGAGGCACAAAAUAAAGAUCUUCCCACACAGCUUACAUUCCUAGGGAUUCUCACCUGUAUGAAUUUUCUGAUGUUGAGACAGUUGUGAGCCAUAAGCAAAGACCUUUCCACAUUCUUUACAUUCAUAGGGUUUUUCACCAGUAUGAAUUCUCUGAUGCUGAGUAAGAUGUGAGCCACGAAUAAAGGUUUUCCCACAUUCCUUACCUUCGAAGGGUUUUUCACCAGUGUGAGUUCUUUGAUGUUCAGUAAGGUGUGAACCACAAAUAAAUGAUUUCCCACAUUUUUCACAUUCAUACAGUUUCUCACCAGUAUGAGUCCUCUGAUGUCGAAUAAGCUGUGAGUCAUAGUUAAAGGCCUUUCCACACUGCUUACAUUCAUGUGGCUUCUUACCUGUAUGGAUCCUUUGAUGUUCAGUAAGUUGUGAACCAAGGAUAAAAAAUAUCUCACAAUCUUUACAUUUAUAAAGCUUUUCACCAGUAUGAAAUCUAUAAUGUGGAGAAAGCUGUGAACCAUAACGAAAGGCUCUCCCACAUUCAUUACACACACAGUUUCUCACCAGUAUGAAUUCUCUGAUGUUCAGUAAGUUGAAAGCCACGAAUAAAGGACUUUCCACAUUCAUUACAUAUGUAGGGUUUCUCACCAGUUAUGAAUUCUCUGAUGG
rnacentral:lncRNA from 1 species